GGGUGAUCUCUGAUACUCACUGUCACUCACUGUGUGCUGGCCAUGUCCCAUCACCAAUGAGGCGAGCAGAAUCACCUCGUUCACAGAGGGGAGAAGCUGAGAUCACAGCCUGGAGGGCAGGCACAGGCCCCUGAGCAGGGCAGAAGCCACGGCAGGCUGCCUUCUAGGGCUGCCAUCCAACUUCAGAGCCCCCAACCGACCACGGAGGUGCACUGACAAGCUGUCCUCUGAGAACCUGAGGAGUUUUGAGGCUAGGAUCUGUCUAUCCCGCUCACUGGGGCCCAGUCCCAUCUGGGAGAUAGUGCCACAGAAGCUGCUGGCUCACUAAAAAUUAAACCUUCCUCCAGCUAAGUCCAGGGCACAGACUGAAAGGACCACGCUUCACUGACUGCUUGUGAGGAGGCGUGACCGUGCCCGGCCAGGCCCUGAGUUGCUGAGCCUCUUGACGGGGGGGUGAGGGCAAAUGCGGGUGCCCCAGGCAGAGCGGGGAGGACGAGGGGGAGAAGGGCUGUGCUCUGCCGAGGGCGGGUUUGCAGGGAAAAGGUUUUAGUUUCUGUUUUUUAUUAAGGUGAGAUACAUGUAAGAUGAAGCAUUUAAAACUAUAUAGCACAACUCAGAAGCAUUUAGUAUCUCCCCAGAAGCACGCAGCCAUCACCCUUUCCAGUCUUAAAACAUGUCCAUCACCCCUAAAGGAGAGCCUGUGGGGAUUUUGGAGCUGUGACCCUGACCACCUCCUCCAGAAAGUGCCAUUCAGAAAGCUCGCCAGCGAGAAGAGAGCUCCACGCUCAGCCUCAGAAGAAAGACGUUCAACGACUUACUGGGGAGAGAAAGAAAAGGAACGGGAGCUGAGAGGUAAGAUCAAACUGGAGGGUGUGCGGGCCCUCUGGGAUGCCUUGCAUGGAAGAGAGGUAGCCCCGACUUUGUGUCCUGAAGGGUGGCGCUCUAAGUAG
rnacentral:lncRNA from 1 species